rnacentral:rRNA from 1 species
UACGUAGGGUGCAGGCGUUAAUCGGAAUUACUGGGCGUAAAGCGUGCGCAGGCGGUUUGCUAAGACAGGUGUGAAAUCCCCGGGCUAACCUGGGAACUGCGCUUGUAACUGGCAAGCUAGAGUGUGGCAGAGGGGGGUGGGAAUUCCACGUGUAGCAGUGAAAUGCGUAGAGAUGUGGAGGAACACCGAUGGCGAAGGCAGCCCCCUGGGCUAACACUGACGCUCAUGCACGAAAGCGUGGGGAGCAAACAGGG